UGCGUAGGUGGCAAGGCAAGUCUGAAGUGAAAAUCCGGGGCUCAACCCCGGAACUGCUUUGGAAACUGUUUAGCUAGAGUACAGGAGAGGUAAGUGGAAUUCCUAGUGUAGCGGUGAAAUGCGUAGAUAUUAGGAGGAGCACCAGUGGCGAAGGCGACUUACUGGACUGCUACUGACACUGAGGCACGAAAGCGUGGGGAGCAAACA
rnacentral:rRNA from 1 species